CAGUCGCCGCGGUAACACAGAGGGUGCGAGCGUUAAUCGGAUUUACUGGGCGUAAAGCGUGCGUAGGCGGCUAAUUGAGUCGGAUGUGAAAUCCCCGAGCUUAACUUGGGAAUUGCAUUCGAUACUGGUUAGCUAGAGUGUGGGAGAGGAUGGUAGAAUUCCAGGUGUAGCGGUGAAAUGCGUAGAGAUCUGGAGGAAUACCGAUGGCGAAGGCAGCCAUCUGGCCUAACACUGACGCUGAGGUACGAAAGCAUGGGGAGCAAACAGGAUUAGAUACCCGUGUAGUCCCUGUCUCUUAUAA
rnacentral:rRNA from 1 species